rnacentral:rRNA from 1 species
GAAUGCUGACAUAAGUAACGAUAAAGCGGGUGAAAAGCCCGCUCGCCGGAAGACCAAGGGUUCCUGUCCAACGUUAAUCGGGGCAGGGUGAGUCGACCCCUAAGGCGAGGCCGAAAGGCGUAGUCGAUGGGAAACAGGUUAAUAUUCCUGUACUUGGUGUUACUGCGAAGGGGGGACGGAGAAGGCUAUGUCAGCCGGGCGACGGUUGUCCCGGUUUAAGCAUGUAGGCGGAGGUUCCAGGUAAAUCCGGUACCUUGUUAACGCUGAGGUGUGAUGACGAGGCACUACGGUGCUGAAGUGAUAAAUGCCCUGCUUCCAGGAAAA